AGAAUACUUAAAGUUAAAAAAUUAUUGACAAAAUUGAUUUCAUUUGAAAUAUCUUUCAAUUUGCUUUUGAUAACUCUAGAUGAGUUAGAAUUUACAAAAUAAAGAAUUAAUAAUGACAAUUUCAGAUACUAAAUUAGAAAGUUCAAUCUGAAAAUAUUGCCUGAAAUCCCCAAAACAAACUUGUUAUGGAAUUCUCACCAUUGAUUACAUACUGUUGUUUAGUAUCUUUACUCUCAAGCUGUUUGAGUGACGAGGAAUGAAAUACAAAAAACAACCAUAUGAACGGUGGAACUAUACAAUUUUUUAAGAGCCCGAUGACUACUUAUAUUGAAACAAAGUUUGUUCAUCUCGAGAAGUACUCGAACUGCUCAUAAUGAUUACUUACCGUUCAACAAAUGUUCAAUAGAACUUCGAGUUCAUUGUCACUAUGUAUUACAAUUGAUGAAAAUGAAUAAUGUUUAUGAAAUUUAUAUGUAGGUAGCUACUAUAUUUGGAAGACGCAAAUCAAAACUCCCACAAAAGUAAGUGGUAUUAUUAAGCCCCAUAGAACUGCCUCUGCUAUUUAGAUUUUCAAAAUCUGAAAAGACUAUUUUUUUAAAGAUUUGAACCUGAAUUUUGAUCAUGCUUCAAAGGUGAGAUUUUUUCAAAAUCUUUUAAGCCUUCGACUUUGACGGAAGAUAUGAAAUCUAUCUUUUGGAGUAAAAUUCGUCAAAUUUGAUUCAUGAAAUACUUCCAUCUUUUAAUUGCGGCCUUAUUAGACCCUUCGAGUGAUUACGUGAUUGAUGAUUGUCUAUCUUUGUGUCUGUUAUUGAUUUAUUAAGUGUACAUUAUUUUGAUUGAAUUGAUCUUUGAUUAUAUGAAUCUGUUUUAAUUCUUGAGAUAGUAUUAAAGGGUAAUGAAUCAUAAGGGUAGCUUUCUUGCAUCCUCCAUAUGCCAAACAAUUGUUGCCAAGGAUUCGUAUACAAAGAGAACAUUGAUGAGUGAAUUGCACAUUCUUUCUCCAUUUCUGAAUCAAUAAAGGUCAUUAAGCACGUAAAUCGAGGGUUAACCUAUAGACCAGAAAAUAUUUGAUAGCAUAAGUUUCUUUGUACUCAUACGAGACAAUAUUAAAGAAGACAAUAAGCUAGCGUAGGAUUCCGUUCUUGAAUUUAUCACAUUUUAACCUAUGUAUGUUCUCUCAUUCUUUCUCCAUUUCUGAAUCAAUAAAGGUCAUUAAGCACGUAAAUCGAGGGUUAACCUAUAGACCAGAAAAUAUUUGAUAGCAUAAGUUUCUUUGUACUCAUACGAGACAAUAUUAACGAAGACAAUAAGCUAGAGUAGGAUUCCAUUCUUGAAUUUAUCACAUUUUAAC
rnacentral:lncRNA from 1 species